rnacentral:rRNA from 1 species
ACUCCUACGGGAGGCAGCAGUGGGGAAUAUUGCACAAUGGGCGCAAGCCUGAUGCAGCCAUGCCGCGUGUGUGAAGAAGGCCUUCGGUUGUAAAGCACUUUCAGUCGUGAGGAAGGUAGUGUAGUUAAUAGCUGCAUUAUUUGACGUUAGCGACAGAAGAAGCACCGGCUAACUCCGUGCCAGCAGCCGCGGUAAUACGGAGGGGUGCGAGCGUUAAUCGGAAUUACUGGGCGUAAAGCGCAUGCAGGUGGUUUGUUAAGUCAGAUGUGAAAGCCCGGGGCUCAACCUCGGAAUAGCAUUUGAAACUGGCAGACUAGAGUACUGUAGAGGGGGUAGAAUUUCAGGUGUAGCGGUGAAAUGCGUAGAGAUCUGAAGGAAUACCGGUGGCGAAGGCGGCCCCCUGGACAGAUACUGACACUCAGAUGCGAAAGCGUGGGGAGCAAACAGGAUUAGAUACCCUGGUA